rnacentral:rRNA from 1 species
GUAUACAGCCAUGCUACCCUGAACAAGCCCUAUUCCGUCUGAUCUUGGAAGCUAAGCAGAGUCGGUCCUGGUUAGUACUUGGAUGGGAGACCACCUAGAAAAACCAGAUGCUGCAGGCA